AACGAACGCUGGCGGCAUGCCUAACACAUGCAAGUCGAACGAGACCUUCGGGCUUAGUGGCGCACGGGUGCGUAACCGGUGGGAACCUGCCCUUAGGUUCGGAAUAACGCCCCGAAAGGGGUGCUAAUACCGGCUCAUGUCCUCGGACCAAAGAUUUAUCGCCUUUGGAUGGGCCUGCGUUGGAUUAGCUAGUUGGUAGGGUAAAAGCCUACCAAGGCGACGUUCCAUAGCUGGUCUGAGAGGAUGAUCAGCCACACUGGGACUGAGACACGGCCCAGACUCCUACGGGAGGCAGCAGUGGGGAAUAUUGGACAGUGGGCGAAAGCCUGAUCCAGCAAUGCCGCGUGAGUGAUGAAGGCCUUAGGGUUGUAAAGCUCUUUUACCCGGGAUGAUAAUGACAGUACCGGGAGAAUAAGCUCCGGCUAACUCCGUG
rnacentral:rRNA from 1 species